AAAGCACAUUUGGGUUUAUAGAUAAAUUAAGCUAUAUUUGCAAUGUUUCAGCUAAUGCACGAGUCCAUCUCACAGUGAGCUGGGUUAUUGGGUAUAUUAUUAAUAACACACACUGGGUUAGCAUUGCAUUUUUUUUGCUGACAAUAUAGAGGUCUCUUGCAAUGUCUAUCAAUGGGUAAAAAAAAAUAAUCUAAUUAAUGUAAGUGGGGCAAAAUCAAUCCUAUAAUUGUUCUAUUACAUGGACAUGUAUUUGAUUUAUUGCCAAAACAUUGAAUUAGAUAUUCACGCAGCAAAGCUGAUCUUAAGUAUUCACACUAUCAUUAAAAAGAGUAAUAAUGUGAUUAAUGUAGUAAUUGUUUACUUCAGAGAUAUUCUAUGCCUCCAGGACUCCUAUUUUACCAUAGGAGAGCAAUGGUUAGAUAUUCAGUCAGAUCAUUGUUUGUUUUCUUAAAAUCCCACAUAUAAUUAUGUUUUUCCCCCACUAACUGACUUUGGACUGCGCAUGAAUAGAUCAUUCUUUGACAGAACAGCUGUUGCAAACUACAACUCUCACGAUGUUCA